CAGUAGCCGCGGGAACACGUAGGGUGCAAGCGUUAAUCGGAAUUACUGGGCGUAAAGCGUGCGCAGGCGGUUCUAUAAGACAGAUGUGAAAUCCCCGGGCUCAACCUGGGAAUGGCGCUUGUGACUGCAAAGCUAGAGUGCGGCAGAGGGGGAUGGAAUUCCGCGUGUAGCAGUGAAAUGCGUAGAUAUGCGGAGGAACACCGAUGGCGAAGGCAAUCCCCUGGGCCUGCACUGACGCUCAUGCACGAAAGCGUGGGGAGCAAACAGGAUUAGAUACCCCGGUAGUCCCUGUCUCUUAUAC
rnacentral:rRNA from 1 species